ensembl:lncRNA
CUUUUGCAGCUGAUUGACCAUGAAAAAUCAAGAAACGAGUCUGUUUUCAGGAUUUUGCUCAGUAGAAGAUGAAACAGGCACGUUGUUGCUUCACACUUGUUCAGGAAACUCGAACAUCUCCUGCAGCAGCGAGUCGGUCACCAGGACGAACUCGUCCUCUGGGAAAUCCUGUCAGCUGGAAACUGUUCUGAGGUCUGGUUCUGUCGGCUGCUGGUGGAAUCUGGGUUCUGUAGCUCAGAAUGAAGCCUUUAGACUCUCAGCAGGAUCAGUCCCAGUCGUACUUUACUACAGCUUUCCUUGUUAGAUAGAAGUCCA